AUUUAUUUGGUGUUUUCGCCUUUGGACCAGCAAAGAACGUUUUUUUUUCGAAACACGAUCGCCGAUUUGUCAACAGCAAUAGUCCUUGUGGAUCUGAAGCGCUUUUUUUUUGGCUGAGAAGUAAACUGCCAAGAGAACGAAAAAUCACCUGCGACACAGCUUAAUUAAUUCCACUACAGUAACAAAAUACUGGACUUAGCUUACAACUGAUUACAGUUGACCGCAUCACUUAGUAGAAUGAACCGAAUUCAAGCACUUACGUCUGAAGAAACUGGCACGGGUCGUUUUGAAAUAAAAGUUAGAUAUAUGAUUGACAGAUUUAACCAUGAACUCGAUGGAGAGUUAGUCCAGAUCUGUAACCGAUUAUUAAUCAAUACUUUAAUGGAGAGAUUGGACAAUGGCAAUACGAAAAAUAUCGAUGCAAUUAUAGUUGAAGAACUGGCAGUGGACAUUUAUGAAGUAAUAAUACGGAUGAAUACUAGAGGAUUUGAAACUGAGGCCAAUAAUCGUAUACUCCAGUUCGUUAAUGAAACAUAUCGCAUUA